UUUGGAUUCGAAUGAGUUCGAAAAUGCCAUUCUUGUUUACGUACAAAGACCAUACGAAUCCAUUCGUAUCGCAUACGAAUGCGAUACGUAUACGAAAAAGGUGGAUGUCUAUGCAAAAACGGUUGAUGUCUAGACUUAAGGGUUAAAAAAGUUUAAAUGUCAGGAGAGAAAUGUCAAGUGUGUCAAGCCGAUUGAGCGAGGCUCCUGACGGCAAACAGUUUUUUUUAUGAAUGAAAAUGAAAUAUGUUUUUAUUAUAAUUUGCAUAAUAAAAUGGUCUUUUUUGAGAAACAUUUAUAGUUAACGUAUGCCUACAACACAAGACUAUCGCGGUUACUUAAAAUUUUCCUUUUAUAAAUAGAAUUUGUUUGGCGAAAUAUGCAAUUGGAACCAAAUUUACAAACUCCGAUGCAAAAACAAUAAGCGGGUCAUGGGCCUGCAUAAUGCAUUAAAACUUGACUGUUUACGUUUUUUGAACGACUUGGACAGCAUACUUGAGCAGUUUAUUUUGCUAAAUUUUGGUGAAUAUUGUAAUAAGUGAAAGGGCGAACAGGUGUGAGCCGACAGAUAUGGAUAGUGCUACGACAGAGUAAUUUCACAGAGUCACACAGCACGACCAACUUGCGCUCGUUCCAUUGUUAUAAAUUGGUCCACAAAAAGACGCUCGCCGAUAAGAAAAUUAGCCUGGCCUACAAGCGGCCUAAGCAUCAGAACCAGCCGACACUGAGCAACGUAUCUUGAAGAACAUCAUCAAUGGCAAACAGCAGCGACGGGACUUGCGUUAGGCCGCCCUGUGUCGUGCCAGUUUAGUACUAUUGUUAAAUCCUAGCGAUCGGCCAGGACUAAGUAGGGCACUUCCCUAUAAAGGUGAAUUGUUAAUACCAUGCAGGAAUUUUUGUCAGACCCUCUGUGAGUGACAGAUAAUGAAAAAUAAAUAAUGCUUCGCCUACUAUUCUGAGAUCUUAUUUUUGAAUUAAAU